UGCCUUUAACAAGGUAGCACAUUUCUCUAAGAGCUUAGUUAAUGGACCACUAGUAAUAAAUGUUCUGAGAACAGUCAUGCUGCAACUCCUUGGGAACCUGGAGAUUUCCUAAGUAAUUUUCUGGAAACUUGUAUCUAGGCCCAUGAUGUGUAGAAGAGAACACAUGGAUGCGAGGAAGAGGAAGGUUAUAUGUGAUAAAUGGUUUGAAUAUAUGUAACAAGAUGCAGCCAAGAAUAAGAAAGGACUAAGUGACAAGGUCUGUGUGCUAGAAAAUGGCAUGGCAAAGGAUAGAAUGGAGACGAAGGACCGCAACAAUGGACAUUCAUCAGCACUCUACCUCCCUUUCAUUGCUGUCAUCCUCUGUUGUCACAAGCACUGGGAUGCGACAAUAGGCCCAUUGAUGUGAAGUAUUUAGCUUGGCCGUGCGGGCGUUGCUGGUUGCCUGAAUUGGAGCCGAGAAGGAAUUUUUCCCUGUUGAACCCGAACAGGUUUUUUGCCUUCUGUGUACUGCCUUCCUCCUCAGCUAUUGUAGCUCAGGAGGAGUUAAAGAGUGGGAGCCAUACACAGUACACUUCAGAACAGCCCCAAACAAUAAAGU